rnacentral:rRNA from 1 species
AUUGAACGCUGGCGGCAUGCUUUACACAUGCAAGUCGAACGGUAACAGGGUGCUUGCACCGCUGACGAGUGGCGAACGGGUGAGUAAUGCGUCGGAACGUGCCGAGUAGUGGGGGAUAACGCAGCGAAAGUUGUGCUAAUACCGCAUACGUACUGAGGUAGAAAGUGGGGGACCUUCGGGCCUCACGCUAUUCGAGCGGCCGACGUCUGAUUAGCUAGUAGGUGAGGUAAAGGCUCACCUAGGCGACGAUCAGUAGCGGGUCUGAGAGGAUGGUCGGCCAAACUGGAACUAGAACAAGGGCCAGAUGCCGACGUGCGGCAGCAGUGGGAAAUUUUGAACAAUGGGCGAAAGCCCGAUCCAGCCAUGCCGCGUGUCUGAAGAAGGCCGUCGGGUUGUAAAGGACUUUUGUCAGGGAGGAAAUCCCUAGUGCUAAUAACACUGGGGGAUGACAGUACCUGAAGAAUAAGCACCGGCUAACUACGUGCCAGCCGCCGCAGUAA